rnacentral:rRNA from 1 species
UACGGAGGGUGCAAGCGUUAUCCGGAUUCACUGGGUUUAAAGGGUGCGUAGGUGGGUUUGUAAGUCAGUGGUGAAAUCUCCAAGCUUAACUUGGAAACUGCCGUUGAUACUAUAAAUCUUGAAUGUUGUGGAGGUGAGCGGAAUAUGUCAUGUAGCGGUGAAAUGCAUAGAUAUGACAUAGAACACCAAUUGCGAAGGCAGCUGGCUACACAAAUAUUGACGCUGAGGCACGAAAGCGUGGGGAUCAAACAGG